AGAGUUUGAUCCUGGCUCAGGAUGAACGCUGGCGGCGUGCCUAAUACAUGCAAGUCGAGCGAACGGACGAGAAGCUUGCUUCUCUGAUGUUAGCGGCGGACGGGUGAGUAACACGUGGAUAACCUACCUAUAAGACAGGGAUAACUUCGGGAAACCGGAGCUAAUACCGGAUAAUAUUUUGAACCGCAUGGUUCAAAAGUGAAAGACGGUCUUGCUGUCACUUAUAGAUGGAUCCGCGCUGCAUUAGCUAGUUGGUAAGGUAACGGCUUACCAAGGCAACGAUGCAUAGCCGACCUGAGAGGGGGAUCGGCCACACUGGAACUGAGACACGGUCCAGACUCCUACGGGAGGCAGCAGUAGGGAAUCUUCCGCAAUGGGCGAAAGCCUGACGGAGCAACGCCGCGUGAGUGAUGAAGGUCUUCGGAUCGUAAAACUCUGUUAUUAGGGAAGAACAUAUGUGUAAGUAACUGUGCACAUCUUGACGGUACCUAAUCAGAAAGCCACGGCUAACUACGUGCCAGCAGCCGCGGUAAUACGUAGGUGGCAAGCGUUAUCCGGAAUUAUUGGGCGUAAAGCGCGCGUAGGCGGUUUUUUAAGUCUGAUGUGAAAGCCCACGGCUCAACCGUGGAGGGUCAUUGGAAACUGGAAAACUUGAGUGCAGAAGAGGAAAGUGGAAUUCCAUGUGUAGCGGUGAAAUGCGCAGAGAUAUGGAGGAACACCAGUGGCGAAGGCGACUUUCUGGUCUGUAACUGACGCUGAUGUGCGAAAGCGUGGGGAUCAAACAGGAUUAGAUACCCUGGUAGUCCACGCCGUAAACGAUGAGUGCUAAGUGUUAGGGGGUUUCCGCCCCUUAGUGCUGCAGCUAACGCAUUAAGCACUCCGCCUGGGGAGUACGACCGCAAGGUUGAAACUCAAAGGAAUUGACGGGGACCCGCACAAGCGGUGGAGCAUGUGGUUUAAUUCGAAGCAACGCGAAGAACCUUACCAAAUCUUGACAUCCUUUGACAACUCUAGAGAUAGAGCCUUCCCCUUCGGGGGACAAAGUGACAGGUGGUGCAUGGUUGUCGUCAGCUCGUGUCGUGAGAUGUUGGGUUAAGUCCCGCAACGAGCGCAACCCUUAAGCUUAGUUGCCAUCAUUAAGUUGGGCACUCUAAGUUGACUGCCGGUGACAAACCGGAGGAAGGUGGGGAUGACGUCAAAUCAUCAUGCCCCUUAUGAUUUGGGCUACACACGUGCUACAAUGGACAAUACAAAGGGCAGCGAAACCGCGAGGUCAAGCAAAUCCCAUAAAGUUGUUCUCAGUUCGGAUUGUAGUCUGCAACUCGACUACAUGAAGCUGGAAUCGCUAGUAAUCGUAGAUCAGCAUGCUACGGUGAAUACGUUCCCGGGUCUUGUACACACCGCCCGUCACACCACGAGAGUUUGUAACACCCGAAGCCGGUGGAGUAACCUUUUAGGAGCUAGCCGUCGAAGGUGGGACAAAUGAUUGGGGUGAAGUCGUAACAAGGUAGCCGUAUCGGAAGGUGCGGCUGGAUCACCU
rnacentral:rRNA from 1 species